rnacentral:rRNA from 1 species
CCUACGGGCGGCAGCAGUGAGGAAUAUUGGUCAAUGGACGAGAGUCUGAACCAGCCAAGUAGCGUGAAGGAUGACUGCCCUAUGGGUUGUAAACUUCUUUUAUAUGGGAAUAAAAUGUUCCACGUGUGGGAUUUUGUAUGUACCAUAUGAAUAAGGAUCGGCUAACUCCGUGCCAGCAGCCGCGGUAAUACGGAGGAUCCGAGCGUUAUCCGGAUUUAUUGGGUUUAAAGGGAGCGUAGGUGGAUUGUUAAGUCAGUUGUGAAAGUUUGCGGCUCAACCGUAAAAUUGCAGUUGAAACUGGCAGUCUUGAGUACAGUAGAGGUGGGCGGAAUUCGUGGUGUAGCGGUGAAAUGCUUAGAUAUCACGAAGAACUCCGAUUGCGAAGGCAGUUCACUGGACUGCAACUGACACUGAGGCUCGAAAGUAUGGGUAUCAAACAGGAUUAGAUACCCUUGUAGUC